UAGAUGCGGCUCAUGCAAUAUGUGCCCCUACAGUUUACAAGUAAAAGAAAUAAAAAGUGAACAUAUGCAGUUCACUUUUAAAAUCAACUCCAUGACCACAUGCAACUCCAAGAACGUAGUUUAUUGCAUACGGUGCCCUUGCAACAAACUGUAUGUAGGCAGCACCACGCGGGCACUAAAGGUACGUAUAGGAGAACACAGAUCACGCAUCCGCAAUAAAGUGAUGGAAGCCCCUCUUACACCUCAUUUUUUACAAAUGAAACACAGUGACUCCGAUUUAAUGUUUUUUGGCUUAUGGCAGUACACACCCAAGAAAUACCACAAGCAGGAUAUCCUAAAAAUAUUGAGACAACAAGAAACUAAAUUGAUUUUUAUGUUUAAGACAUUACAACCGGACGGUUUAAACUCAGAUCUUGACCUUUCUGUAUUCAUUUAAACGAACACACCAGCAGUAUAACAUACAGUAAUCAUAGAGAUACUGUAAGUGUUAUCAGUACUCACAUUCUUCUGCCCCCUCCUAAUUGUCAUCUUUAAUUAUUAUCACCUGUGAACCAACUUUUUGUAUAUAAGUGUGCUCCAAACACAGGAUAUUUGCUUAGUCAAUACAUGCUCAAACCAAAAAUACUCUGAAUACAAGAAAUGUAAGUAUCUCUUUAUGUGUACAUGUAUUUUAGAAAUUGUAUUACUGUAUUAUUUCAAACAAUAAUUAGAAUUUGAUUUGUAUUACCAGUGAAUAUGUAAAUGAGAGAACCUUUUGAAAAAACACCUGAGCAUUGUGGCCUAAGCCAAGAUAAGUGGUUUCAUACAAAUUUGAAUGCACUAAACAUAAAAGUACAAGGAGAACUACUGAAGAAGCCCGUCAUAUGGGCGAAACAGGCAAAAAACGCCGGCAGCCUGUCUACUACCAUUGACACCUCGUUCGACCUGCUGCCACUUGCUGACCGCUAGAUAGCCUCAAAGACUAUAAAGACUGGUUUGCCUUUAAUUUGUACAUGCUAUCUGUUUAACGUUUGAUUUUGGCUCUUGUGUCAGCACUUGUAUAUGGUUCUCUUAUUGUUUUCUCUUUGGAUUAAUAAUACUUGAUUGAAACUUGAUUGAAUUUGG